CGCCUCUUGAUCAAAUAUAAGAGGUCCAGCCUGCCCAGUGACCACUUAAACGGCCGCGGUAUCCUAACCGUGCAAAGGUAGCAUAAUCAUUUGUUCUCUAAAUAAGGACUCGUAUCAACGGCAUCACGAGGGUUGUACUGUCUCCCCCCUCUAAUCAGUGAAACUGACCUCCCCGUGAAGAGGCGGGGAUUUUUAUACAAGACGAGAAGACCCCAUGGAGCUUUAAACCCAAUAAUACUCUCUCACUAUAUACUCCAUUUAAGUUAUAAAGUUUUUAUCUAUUGGUUUUAGGUUGGGGUGACCACGGAGUAAAACAUAACCUCCUUGACGAACGGUCUUAUCCUAAUCCAAGAGCCACUGCUCUAAGAAUCAAAAAUUUGACGUAAUAUGAUCCGGCAACCGAUCAACGAACCAAGUUACCCUGGGGAUAACAGCGCAAUCCAUUUCAAGAGCUCUUAUCGACAAAUGGGUUUACGACCUCGAUGUUGGAUCAGGGUAUCCCAGUGGUGCAGCCACUACUAAAGGUUUGUUUGUUCAACAAUUAAAACCCUACG
rnacentral:rRNA from 1 species